UACGGGGGGGGGUAAGCGUUGUUCGGAAUUACUGGGCGUAAAGGGCGCGUAGGCGGCCUGCUAAGUCGAACGUGAAAUCCCCGGGCUCAACCCGGGAACUGCGUCCGAUACUGGUAGGCUUGAAUCCGGGAGAGGGAUGCGGAAUUCCAGGUGUAGCGGUGAAAUGCGUAGAUAUCUGGAGGAACACCGGUGGCGAAGGCGGCCAUCUGGACCGAGACUGACGCUGAGGCGCGAAAGCGUGGGGGAGCAAACAGG
rnacentral:rRNA from 1 species